GAUGAACGCUGACAGAAUGCUUAACACAUGCAAGUCGAUUCGAUUUACCUUCGGGUAUUGAGGAUGGCGGACGGGUGAGUAACGCGUAAGGAACUUGCCUCUUGGACUGGGACAACUGUUGGAAACGACAGCUAAUACCGGAUAUUAUGAGAUUCUCGCAUGGGAAACUUAUGAAAGCUAUAUGCGCCAAGAGAGAGCCUUGCGUUCCAUUAGCUAGGUUGGU
rnacentral:rRNA from 1 species